GUGUCAUCUGUUUUUUAACUCUUUCUUUCACGUAAACAGUAGAAAGGCCAGCAAAUAGCAUUAAAAAGUGGUCCCUGCCGGUGGACCUUAUCAGUUGUCACCUGUCACUGAGAAAAGAGAGUUAACCACAGUUUCCCAGUCGUCUACAAAACUUAGUUCUUCUGAGCUGUUAUUACCGCCGACGUCAUACAAGUAGUGGAGGAUGAGGAUCACCAUGUCUAUCUUCCUACUCGUCAUUGUUGCCAUCAUGACUGCUUCCGUGGCAGGUGAAGAGUGUGUCCUACAUGGCGAGCCAUGUGACCGUACAAGCGGCAUUCCCUGUUGUUCCCGAUUUGAAUGGUGUUCCGGCUUUCUGAUGGAGGAUGGUAAAGUCGAGCACAGGUGUACCCUUAUCCUGCCUGGGUGAUCAGCUACCACUCUACUUCCACUGAAUCAGGCUACGGGUUCAUACAUAGGUUCUCACUGUCUUCAAAUAAACAAGAUCGUGUUCACGCGUUCAAAGAAAA